UACGGAGGGUGCAAACGUUGCUCGGAAUCACUGGGCGUAAAGGGUGCGUAGGCGGGUCUUUAAGUCUGGGGUGAAAUCCUGGAGCUCAACUCCAGAACUGCCUUUGAUACUGAAGAUCUUGAGUUCGGGAGAGGUGAGUGGAACUGCGAGUGUAGAGGUGAAAUUCGUAGAUAUUCGCAAGAACACCAGUGGCGAAGGCGGCUCACUGGCCCGAUACUGACGCUGAGGCACGAAAGCGUGGGGAGCAAACAGG
rnacentral:rRNA from 1 species